GCUCAGGACGAACGCGGGCGGCGUGCCUAACACAUGCAAGUCGAGCGAUGAAGCCCUUCGGGGUGGAUUAGCGGCGGACGGGUGAGUAACACGUGGGUAACCUGCCUCAAAGAGGGGGAUAGCCUCCCGAAAGGGAGAUUAAUACCGCAUAAUAUUAGUUUUUCGCAUGAAGAACUAAUUAAAGGAGUAAUCCGCUUUGAGAUGGACCCGCGGCGCAUUAGCUAGUUGGUGAGGUAAAGGCUCACCAAGGCGACGAUGCGUAGCCGACCUGAGAGGGUGAUCGGCCACAUUGGAACUGAGACACGGUCCAGACUCCUACGGGAGGCAGCAGUGGGGAAUAUUGCACAAUGGGCGAAAGCCUGAUGCAGCAACGCCGCGUGAGUGAUGAAGGCCUUCGGGUUGUAAAGCUCUGUCUUUGGGGACGAUAAUGACGGUACCCAAGGAGGAAGCCACGGCUAACUACGUGCCAGCAGCCGCGGUAAUACGUAGGUGGCGAGCGUUGUCCGGAUUUACUGGGCGUAAAGGAUGCGUAGGUGGAUGUUUAAGUCAGAUGUGAAAUACCCGAGCUUAACUUGGGUGCUGCAUUUGAAACUGGACAUCUAGAGUGCAGGAGAGGUAAGUGGAAUUCCUAGUGUAGCGGUGAAAUGCGUAGAGAUUAGGAAGAACACCAGUGGCGAAGGCGACUUACUGGACUGUAACUGACACUGAGGCAUGAAAGCGUGGGUAGCAAACAGGAUUAGAUACCCUGGUAGUCCACGCCGUAAACGAUGAGUACUAGGUGUAGGGGGGUCCAACCUUCUGUGCCGCAGUUAACACAAUAAGUACUCCGCCUGGGAAGUACGAUCGCAAGAUUAAAACUCAAAG
rnacentral:rRNA from 1 species